GUUUGCCAACUUCGACCGCGGCCUCGGCCACUCGACAAAACACGCCUCCUGGCCGCUGGCAGCAGCUCGCGACAAAAAAGGUUUCCUUCUUCCGCGUGGUUAUCCUUGGCCACGCGAUGGCCCUCAUUCUGUACACAAAGGCACCUUCUCGUCUAAAUGAACUUGGCUAAUGACGGCGAUGCUCUGGCAACUGAGUUGGAAACCGGGAGAGGAAGCGAGUUGAUGGCUAGAAGACAAACUUUCGGGGCAGGGGGAGGGGCGCGCAUGAUUUCUUUCAAAUAGCGAAGAGGAAAUAGUGGAACUUGAAACGCUCUCGCUGGAGGUCCGGCGUGAUCCGGCCAAUGCUCGCCUUUUGCUGGGUCGCAUAAUAUCAAAGCGAUUAUUAAAGCCGGUGAGACGGUCCGAGAGGAACCCGGGCACCUGUCGGGGCACACCUCGUUCCAAUGGGUGUCUUAUCUUCUCAAGCUGUCUCAAGGCCAAGAAAAGAAACAAAGUUGUUAAAGUUAUUUUUCACAGCCUGCAAACCCUUCAAAGGCACAAAAGCCAGAAAAAUGUAUCAAUACAUCCAGUUAUUUUGAUGCCAGGUCCAGGAAGUAA